AAAGUCGUAACAAGGUUUCCGUAGGUGAACCUGCGGAAGGAUCAUUACCGAAUGGACCUGUACCUUCUUGUAGCAGACCAUCAUGAAUGGUCUGUUACGUCUAACCAUCAAACAUGUCGUUGCAUGGUGGGGUGGCAUCCUUUCGUUGGGUUUGCACCUCAAGCAUGGAAAUAUCAAUACAACUUUCAACAACGGAUCUCUUGGCUCUC
rnacentral:misc_RNA from 1 species